rnacentral:rRNA from 1 species
GUUGAUUCUGCCGGAGGCCACUGCUAUCGGAGUUCGAUUAAGCCAUGCGAGUCGAGAGGUGCAAGACCUCGGCAUACUGCUCAGUAACACGUGGACAACCUAACCUAUGGAGGGGGAUAACCCCGGGAAACUGGGGAUAAUACCCCAUAGACUAUGGAUGCUGGAAUGCUCUGUAGUUGAAAGGUCCGCCGCCAUAGGAUGGGUCUGCGGCCGAUUAGGUUGUUGUUGGGGUAACGGCCCAACAAGCCUGUAAUCGGUACGGGUUGUGGGAGCAAGAGCCCGGAGAUGGAUUCUGAGACACGAAUCCAGGCCCUACGGGGCGCAGCAGGCGCGAAAACUUUACAAUGCGGGAAACCGUGAUAAGGGAACUCCGAGUGCCCGUAAAAUCGGGCUGUCCAUCUGUUUAAAUAACAGGUGAAGAAAGGGCCGGGCAAGACCGGUGCCAGCCGCCGCGGUAAUACCGGCGGCUCGAGUGGUGGCCACUAUUACUGGGCUUAAAGCGUUCGUAGCUGGUUUGUUAAGUCUCUGGGGAAAUCUGCCGGCUCAACCGGCAGGCGUUCCAGGGAUACUGGCAGACUAGGGACCGGGAGAGGUGAGGGGUACUCCAGGGGUAGGAGUGAAAUCCUGUAAUCCUUGGGGGACCACCUGUGGCGAAGGCGCCUCACCAGAACGGCUCCGACAGUGAGGGACGAAAGCUGGGGGAGCAAACCGGAUUAGAUACCCGGGUAGUCCCAGCCGUAAACGAUGCGCGUUAGGUGUAUCGGUGACCACGAGUCACCGAGGUGCCGAAGAGAAAUCGUGAAACGUGCCGCCUGGGAAGUACGGUCGCAAGGCUGAAACUUAAAGGAAUUGGCGGGGGAGCACCACAACGG